GAGUGGCGAACUGGUGAGUAACACGUGGGAAACCUGCCCAGAAGCGGGGGAUAACACCUGGAAACAGAUGCUAAUACCGCAUAACAACUUGGACCGCAUGGUCCGAGUUUGAAAGAUGGCUUCGGCUAUCACUUUUGGAUGGUCCCGCGGCGUAUUAGCUAGAUGGUGGGGUAACGGCUCACCAUGGCAAUGAUACGUAGCCGACCUGAGAGGGUAAUCGGCCACAUUGGGACUGAGACACGGCCCAAACUCCUACGGGAGGCAGCAGUAGGGAAUCUUCCACAAUGGACGAAAGUCUGAUGGAGCAACGCCGCGUGAGUGAAGAAGGGUUUCGGCUCGUAAAACUCUGUUGUUAAAGAAGAACAUAUCUGAGAGUAACUGUUCAGGUAUUGACGGUAUUUAACCAGAAAGCCACGGCUAACUACGUGCCAGCAGCCGCGGUAAUACGUAGGUGGCAAGCGUUGUCCGGAUUUAUUGGGCGUAAAGCGAGCGCAGGCGGUUUUUUAAGUCUGAUGUGAAAGCCUUCGGCUCAACCGAAGAAGUGCAUCGGAAACUGGGAAACUUGAGUGCAGAAGAGGACAGUGGAACUCCAUGUGUAGCGGUGAAAUGCGUAGAUAUAUGGAAGAACACCAGUGGCGAAGGCGGCUGUCUGGUCUGUAACUGACGCUGAGGCUCGAAAGUAUGGGUAGCAAACAGGAUUAGAUACCCUGGUAGUCCAUACCGUAAACGAUGAAUGCUAAGUGUUGGAGGGUUUCCGCCCUUCAGUGCUGCAGCUAACGCAUUAAGCAUUCCGCCUGGGGAGUACGGCCGCAAGGCUGAAACUCAAAGGAAUUGACGGGGGCCCGCACAAGCGGUGGAGCAUGUGGUUUAAUUCGAAGCUACGCGAAGAACCUUACCAGGUCUUGACAUACUAUGCAAAUCUAAGAGAUUAGACGUUCCCUUCGGGGACAUGGAUACAGGUGGUGCAUGGUUGUCGUCAGCUCGUGUCGUGAGAUGUUGGGUUAAGUCCCGCAACGAGCGCAACCCUUAUUAUCAGUUGCCAGCAUUAAGUUGGGCACUCUGGUGAGACUGCCGGUGACAAACCGGAGGAAGGUGGGGAUGACGUCAAAUCAUCAUGCCCCUUAUGACCUGGGCUACACACGUGCUACAAUGGAUGGUACAACGAGUUGCGAACUCGCGAGAGUAAGCUAAUCUCUUAAAGCCAUUCUCAGUUCGGAUUGUAGGCUGCAACUCGCCUACAUGAAGUCGGAAUCGCUAGUAAUCGCGGAUCAGCAUGCCGCGGUGAAUACGUUCCCGGGCCUUGUACACACCGCCCGUCACACCAUGAGAGUUUGUAACACCCAAAGUCGGUGGGGUAACCUUUUAGGAACCAGCCGCCUAAGGU
rnacentral:rRNA from 1 species